GAUGAACGCUGGCGGCGUGCCUAACACAUGCAAGUCGAGCGAACAGACGAGGAGCUUGCUCCUUUGACGUUAGCGGCGCACGGGUGUGUAACACGUGGAUAACCCACCUCUCUUACUGGGAUAACUUCGGGAAACCGGCGCUAAUCCCGUAUAACAUAUUGAACCGCAUGGUUCAAUAGUGAUAGCCGGUUUUGCUGUCACUUAUACAUGGAUGCGCGCUGCAUUAGCUAGUUGGUAAGGUAACGGCUUACCAAGGCAACGAUGCGUAGCCGACCGGAGAGGGUGAUCGGCCGCAUGGGAGCGGGGACAGGGACAAGACGCCUACGGGAGGCAGCAGUAGGGAAUCUGCCGCAAUGGGCGAAAGCCUGACGGAGCAGGGCGACGUGAGUGAUGAAGGUCUCGGGUGCGUAAAGCUCUGUUAUGAGGGAAAAACAAAUGUGUAAGUAAAUGUGCACGUCUUGACGGUACAUGAACAGAAAGCCACGGCUAACUACGUG
rnacentral:rRNA from 1 species